CCUACGGGGGGCAGCAGUGGGGAAUAUUGCACAAUGGGGGAAACCCUGAUGCAGCGACGCCGCGUGAGUGAAGAAGUAAUUCGUUACGUAAAGCUCUAUCAGCAGGGAAGAAAUACUGACCUUACGGUCAGCAGACGGUACCUGAGUAAGAAGCCCCGGCUAACUACGUGCCAGCAGCCGCGGUAAUCCGUAGGGGGCAAGCGUUAUCCGGAUGUACUGGGUGUAAAGGGAGCGUAGACGGUGCGCCAAGUCUGGAGUGAAAUGCCGCAGCUUAACUGCGGAACUGCUUUGGAGACUGGCGAACUAGAGUGCGGGAGGGGUAAGCGGAAUUCCUAGUGUAGCGGUGAAAUGCGUAGAUAUUAGGAGGAACACCGGUGGCGAAGGCGGCUUACUGGACCGUAACUGACGUUGAGGCUCGAAAGCGUGGGGAGCAAACAGGAUUAGAUACCCGGGUAGUC
rnacentral:rRNA from 1 species